GGGCAUUUGGUCUAGUGGUAUGAUUCUCGCUUUGGGUGCGAGAGGUCCCGAGUUUGAUUCGUAUGUUGUUGUAAUAUCCA